UACGUAGGUGGCAAGCGUUGUCCGGGGUUACUGGGCGUAAAGCGUCCGCAGGCGGUGUGCCAAGUUCGCGGUGACAGUGCGCGGCUUCACUGCGCAAGGUCCGCGAAAACUGGUACACUUGAGGACUGGAGAGGGAGCUGGAAUUCCGGGUGGAGUGGUGAAAUGCGUAGAGAUCCGGAGGAACACCAAAGGCGCAGGCAAGCUCCUGGCCAGUAACUGACGCUCAGGGACGAAAGCUAGGGGAGCGAACGGG
rnacentral:rRNA from 1 species